GACGAACGCUGGCGGCGUGCCUAGUACAUGCAAGUCGAACGAACCGCGACUAGGUGCUUGCACUUGGUCAAGGUGAGUGGCGAACGGGUGAGUAACACGUGGGUAACCUACCUCAUAGUGGGGGAUAACAGUCGGAAACGACUGCUAAUACCGCAUAGGACAUAGGAUCACAUGAUCCAGUGAGGAAAGGUGGCGCAAGCUAUCGCUAAGAGAUGGACCCGCGGUGCAUUAGCUAGUUGGUAGGGUAAAGGCCUACCAAGGCGAUGAUGCAUAGCCGACCUGAGAGGGUGAUCGGCCACAUUGGGACUGAGACACGGCCCAAACUCCUACGGGAGGCAGCAGUAGGGAAUCUUCCGCAAUGGACGCAAGUCUGACGGAGCAACGCCGCGUGAGUGAAGAAGGUCUUCGGAUCGUAAAGCUCUGUUGCUAGAGAAGAACAGCGCAUAGAGUAACUGUUAUGCGUGUGACGGUAUCUAACCAGAAAGCCACGGCUAACUACGUG
rnacentral:rRNA from 1 species